GUGGCGAACGGGUGAGUAAUACGUGAGUAACCUGCCCUUGACUCUGGGAUAAGCCUGGGAAACCGGGUCUAAUACUGGAUACUACUGCGCAUCGCAUGGUGUGUGGUGGAAAGGGUUUUACUGGUUUUGGAUGGGCUCACGGCCUAUCAGCUUGUUGGUGGGGUAAUGGCUCACCAAGGCGACGACGGGUAGCCGGCCUGAGAGGGUGACCGGCCACACUGGGACUGAGACACGGCCCAGACUCCUACGGGAGGCAGCAGUGGGGAAUAUUGCACAAUGGGCGAAAGCCUGAUGCAGCGACGCCGCGUGAGGGAUGACGGCCUUCGGGUUGUAAACCUCUUUCAGUAGGGAAGAAGCGAGAGUGACGGUACCUGCAGAAGAAGCGCCGGCUAACUACGUGCCAGCAGCCGCGGUAAUACGUAGGGCGCAAGCGUUGUCCGGAAUUAUUGGGCGUAAAGAGCUCGUAGGCGGUUUGUCGCGUCUGCUGUGAAAGCCCGGGGCUCAACCCCGGGUCUGCAGUGGGUACGGGCAGACUAGAGUGCAGUAGGGGAGACUGGAAUUCCUGGUGUAGCGGUGAAAUGCGCAGAUAUCAGGAGGAACACCGAUGGCGAAGGCAGGUCUCUGGGCUGUUACUGACGCUGA
rnacentral:rRNA from 1 species